rnacentral:lncRNA from 1 species
AUGUCCUCCUAUAACAACACUUUCCACGCUUGGACGGAAUACGCACGCUUUCCCGGAACUCACCUUGAGGGAAAAGAGCGAGAGUGUAUGCACAAACAGCGAACAGAAGAAGAAGAAGAAUCUCCCCCCUCAGAUGAAAUGAUUCUUCUACGAAAGAAAGGCGUCUGUAAUCAGGUUUACAUCUCCGUGCGCGUCCUGGGAGAUGUUUUCAGAAAGGCACUGUUGUCUGGAGAAAUCCGGGAUACUUGGAGACUGGCUCAGCGCUCAGAAACGAGGUUAACUCCUCCACUAAAGGGUCUCAAAUCGGAAAUACCGGGAGUUUCUCCACGCCCAGGUGCAGAGUCACAUGGUAAUUUCCAGUUGAUCGGAUCAGUUGGAAUGGGACAAGAAAAUGCCUUCUUGCAACAAUCUGCAACGGGUGUCCACCAAAAAUCUUUUGUUUACUCAGGAUAAUCAACAGGCAUCAUUCCCGACCGCCUCUAGCCAAUAUUGCUUUGAAAUGAUAUACACCAGCUCCCUGUGGAGAUUGUUGACAGGGAGGUCUGUCAAUUUUCCAAAAGAAAGACACAAUUCUGUUGUCAUUUGUUGAUCCUGUGUGCGCCAUCCAACCUGUCCCCAUUGUGCUGUGGUGGCAGCAGCAGGAGGCUCAGCACCAGCCACCUUUAAACCGAACUGACAGCAAUUGUAAAUUAGCUGUCACUAUAAACUCUAUGCACCGCACGUCUAUUAUAUUUUAGGUGACUGGAUGUAAUGAUGUUAAUUGUACUUUUCCUGUUACAUAAGCAGUGAAGUAUAGCAUAAAUAAAGCAUCGGUGCACCAUACAAUCAAUGUUAAUUAAAGUGGAAAAUGGUUCUGGGGACAUUGUUUGGUUUAAAAAUAUUUAUCCAAGCAAACACUCUUCAUUUAUUCAUAUUUCACUAAGUCCAUUUAACUAUGUCCUUACAAGAGAAGGAUUAGUUAUUUUAACAGUGCAAAUUAUUUGUGUGCCCACUGUACCUUGGCUCCUGAAUUGUUAAUCAUAGACAGGAUAAUUUUGCAGCUCUUGAGUCUGGAAAUGUGGAAACUGUGAUGAUCUAACAAGUUCUGAUUAGGCCUUGUGUCAAGAUCAUUUUAAGUCAGAUGUUUAACAGAUUUCUUGUCAAAUUCCUGCAGAGAGGAGCAUAAAGUCAUAUUGAAAUGCUAUGCAGACCAUAUGUCUUUAAGUGCUGUUAAAGCUUGAUUGGCUCUAGAGUUGCAGAUGAGGUUAUGUCUUAUCUGCAACGCUGCAAUCGGCCACAUGGAGUUUUGUGACUAACUGUGUCAUGCCUUGUUGUGUGCCUGGGUGUCACUUCUUUGAGUGAUUUAUGGGCAUGCAAAUGAGGCUGUCUGUUGAAUGAGGGAGAUGUGCUGCCUUUGCUCAGCGGGCCCCGGAGCAAAGCGUGUGGGUGUGAGUCGAUCCCUAACUGCUGACACAGGCACAGAACUGGCAGGGAUUCACACAGCGAGAUGGGGAGAUGGCCUUCACAGGUCCACACGCUGACUGAUGACAUCCAGAGGAAAGUAGGCCAAGCCGGACAAGUGUCAGGCAAACAGACACCCAAAGACGGAGCGAGGGAGACAAACAUCCACUAAUCACACAGGGAGCGGAGAGAGUGGAAGGCGGCGGUGGACAGCCGGGCUGUUUUGGGGUCCGAGUUCAAUAUGUCCAAAUCUGUUUGUCUAAAGAGUAAUGAGGCGGCUGAGUCCUGGCGAAUUCCAGCCCGGGGGAUAGUGGUGGUAAAGAGAAGCCAAGCUGAGUCUCUCUAAAGGCACCAGAGUGGAAUAGAAAUUCACUUUGUUCUACUCCAUACCCAUAGUAGUGACAUUAUGAUCAAUGCACCUAUACCUUGCUGCAGCUUCUCUUUAUUUUGCUUGAAUAGCGAUGAUCUGUUAUCGUGCCGGUGUCAAACGGUCCCAUUUGUCAUGCAGCAUCCCUCAGCUGCUCCAGACAUGACUAUCAACAAAUUAUGAAGAAUCAUUUAUAAUGGGGCUCUUCUGUUGUACAUGAUAAUUUAGGGAUCUUUUACCAGUCAAGGUUCAUGGUUCAAACUCUUUUUGAGAAGAGGAUAGACUGCCCCCUUUUGGCCGCAGCUUGUGUUGUGUUCUGACCUCAAUAAUGAGCACUAAGUUCUCUUGUUUACCAGAAUAGUAUUCGUGUUAAAAUGGUUUUCGCUCUAUCAUGCAGAUACAGACAAGCAGGAGGAUGUUUUUAGCAUCCAUUUGGCCCAAACAGAUGUAUUUGACUGUACUGUCAUUACCAAAAUUCACACAAGAGGAAACCAAUUUGCAGGGUUGAUCAUGUUUUGCAAUGAAAACUCACACAUACACAACUCUGCACACACAAUACCUAAUUACUCGAUUAACAAAUGCUAUAUUUAAUCAUAAUUUACCACUGCUGUUUUCAUUCUUUCACCACAUUUGCACAGCAAGAAGAAAAUUAUUUUUUUUCAAAGUAAUUUGACGUCAAUAAGCAAACGGUGAUAACAGAUAAUUUGCACAUUACAUAUACGAUGUUCAGGAACUGCACAGGGUUGAUUUUUUCUUUUCUUUCUCUGCAACCAAUGUAAAGCAUUAUAGUGUUAAGAGUUUGAUUUUACAAAUGAGCAAUUUGGGAAAUUUAAAUGGACCCUGUAUCAAAACUGACAAAGUUAAAAUGAAAUCAUUACUUAUUAUUCACUUGCAAAAGUGAAGCUAAAGUUGAAAGCCAUAUCACAAAGUUAAGUCAGGGCUUGAUCCAAUAGAUUGUGGAAGCAAAUUCAGAAGCAAUAACCUGAAGUCAUUGUUUUUGUGUUAUUUUGUAUUUGCCGAUAUUGCUGUGGAGGAAUUUUGCUCCACUUUUUAAUAAAACUCUUCAAGUCCGUUGAGGCUUGUGUUUGAACUGUGUUCUUUUACAUUUGUUGGCAGCAGUUUAGGCCAAACUUUCUCUAAAUCUGAAGUCACAUCACAUUUGACCCCACCUGACCCCCAAUUUUUGAGUCAAUAUUUGUAUCAUUGUUGAGAAAGAUUAAGAAAUGAAAUAUUAAGCCCCUCAAAUUAUAUAUUUUUAUGUAUUUUGGAUUAUUUUCUUUGUAAUGGCUGUUCACUCUGCUGUUCUCACCUGCUACCCUUCCAAGGUCUUCUGCCCCCCCCAUAAUAUAUUGUAGCUCUGCCACUGGACAACGUCAUACUUUAAUCUGAAGGUUUUGGCUGAAUUGACUGC